rnacentral:lncRNA from 1 species
ACAGAUUGAUUUAAUGCAUGUGACGCGGGAUUGAGAAAAAAGCAAACAAACCCAUCACAAUCACAACAAUUAAGAACGAGAAUAUUUUGAAAGAAGUAAAUUCAUGAGCCCAUACAGUAAUUUCAAUACGAAAUGAAAAAAAAAAAUGAAGAACACAGCUCAUUUAAUAGAUUACAUAACAAAUUCGAAGAUGGAAAAUUUGUAUUCUGAUUGUAGUAAAGAUGUAGGGAAAUUAUGAAGAUUCAAGAAGAAAUGUAAAGAAAAGGGAUAAACACGAAACAGUGUCAAAAUCCAGGUGGGUCUGGAAUCUGUUAGCAGAAGGCAAGGGAAAUGAAAAGAGACCAAAAGGAUAUUGAAAAAAACAAUGUCAGAGAAAAUACAGAGGAGAGAAAAGAGAAGUACAGAGAAAAUGAGUUCAUCAGCUACAAACAAACUGUCUAAAUCUGUGGCAUACAUUAAC